UGUCUUUGAUUGCUACGGCUGUUCCAAUCAGCCCCAGAUGAAAAUGAAUGAUCUGGUUGGAAUGCUAUUGGAUAUAUAUGAUUAUAACAUCCUGAAGAUUGAUUAUGCACUUAGUUUGACCAGUUUCUUCGACCUGUAAUAUGUCUUUUGGAAGUUUUGGAAGUUUUCAUGCAAAGUUAUCCUGGACCAGAAAUCAUUUUUUGGCCAUGUGAGCUGAAAGUGAUAGCAAAUGCUGCUACUUGGACACUAGAACUGAACAUUAUGAAACAAAACGAUUUAUUGUUGACUAGGACUUCAUCAUUCUGAUGAAAGAUCAUCAAAGCCACACUUCAGGAUAGUCAGACAGGGCAGACGGGGAAUCUCCAGCAGAAGAUUGAGGGUCUUUACCUCAGUGUCUUUACCUCAGUCUUUACCUCAGUGUGAAACAGAGGAAACACUACCUCUACCGUUUGAUAGUUACUUUUGUCCAUGGCUGUGCCACAGCUGUGUGGUUGCGCCCCGACAGUGACAAGUGGCAAGCAGGACAUCCUGAUUGGAAUAAAAAGCUGGUACAACCUGUCCCUACCUGCUCUGAACUGCUCCGGGUGUCUGAGACAUUGGACAGUGGGGCUGGACGUACUUGUAAAGAGUGGCUACUGGCCAGCCACCGUGACUCACCAGACCAUCUUCACAGUGGACCUCUUCAAGUCCUUUAAAGACAUGAAGGGGUUGGCCCCAGGAUUCUCCCGUCAAGCCUUUGUGGGAAUGCUUCAUGGAAGAACAAAGCACUUUGGCAGGAGUGGAAAGAUAUGUGGUGACACAUUCCAGAAGGCAUUCCUUGAGUGGACUUUCGACACGGAUUGAAAUAGACACGUUUUGUGUAAGCGAUCUCCUCCAUUGUCCUGCCUGGUUUGGAUGGGAAAGCCUCAAGGUUUUUACUACCUUAUGUGUUGUAUGUUUUGUUCAGGGAAUAAUUAUACCUUCUUAAAUUGCAUGCUGUUCUUUUUGUAAUGAAGUAUAUGUUUGUGGUGAUUGAGGUGGUUAAUUUCUGUAUUACCAAAUGAGGAGAGAGACAAGCUUCACACACCAGUCAGAGUUAUACUUAAACUACAUAUUUAAUAAUAAGAGCUUUGCAAUAGCACUGACUUUCAACUAUUACCCAUUUCUAAUGAACCGUUGAUUGUCAACAAAAUGGCUACUGAGAUUUUUUAUAAAAUCGAUCCACCCCCCUUCUCGACAUGACAAACCACAGAUAUUAGGAACAGUUCACAAAGGAAGACUUUUACUUGAGAGAGGAGUAUCCCAUAGCCAGAUAGCAUUCGCUAUAAAUUAUCAUUCAGUUUGGUCCCUAAAACGAGGUUCUAAUCUCGUUCCUGGUACUUCAUAGAAGAAAAACACCAACUCAUCCAUUGGCAUAAAUCAAUUGUCAACUCUAGAUACUCCCAUCUCAAGUAAACCCCUCUUGACCCCACUCCUGGACAAGCUCACUGAGGGGAGUGAACUUCUAGGUCAUACACUAUCCCAGGAUAAGUGCAACAUCAGAGAGGACAUACAAUGGUUCCAGACACUGCCAUACACCUCCCCCCAAUAGAAAAGGAGGGAGUGACUUGCACACAGACAUUGUGGAGACAAAUAAUUGUUUCCCCAUGAAUCACUCCAUCCCUUCACAUGGUUUAAGAAUAGGUAAAGACACAUUCACAUAUGAAAACAAUGUUCCAUCCUGUCCUCUUCCCUUUCUGAUAUUCUGCAUAGCGAAAAGAACAUGUGAAAGACAAGCCUGACCUCUACCAUCUCUGGCACCCAAGUAACUGAGCCCCAGCUGAGGGAAGAAGUGCAACUGCCAACACCAGAGUCCAAAUGGAUAUAUUCUAAAAACAAGUGUAUUACAUAAGCAUAUUAUGCAGAUAAGACAUCUUAGUUAUCUAUGUUACCCAAGUAAUUCUGAUUCAUCCGCCACAUGAUAUAUUCCAGUUGGUGUAAAUUUCAGAAGAUUAAUUGUCAACUAAAAAUUCAUUUUCCAUGAAGAAAAUUUGUGGGACAGUGAUUUGUCAUUUUGCUUUUUCCAAAUCCCUCCGAGACACACACAGACACAUACACAGAGAGGUUGGAGCAACACGAUCAGAUGACUGGGAGUUGAGCCAGCAACCCACCACUCUAGGCUACUUAACACAUCUUGGCGGUUUGGAUUGAUGUAUUAAUUUGUGAUGUAAUCUUGCAGUCUGACUCUCUAUCUAGUGUUGAGAAGGGCUUCUAUUAUGGUGUCUUCUGAGGAAAAGUUGAUGAUGUGAUCCCUCGUCAAACAUGUCCAUACAAAGACCAAUCAUUUAUCCAUUCUCACAGUUUCUAUAACAUAGCUUAAUGUCACCCAGUUUAGAACUUUUUUCUUUUAAGUUAAUGUCUGAACAUCACUGUGAUUUUCAUGUUGUAGACACCAGGCAAAGGAGUGUGUGUCACGUCAGAGUGGACAGCGGCCAAAGAGACGUCAGGAAAUGAAUCUGCCAAAGUAGAAGGAGGGCCUUGUGAUAGCAGUUUGCCGACACGACGUGCUCCUCAAGGCCCUCAACAUGGACAGAGGCGAGAUAUAUUCUAUGCAUCUGCAAUGUACUUGCAGAAAGAGCUGUCUUCUGCUGGAACUGUGGGCUUUUUAUGCUGCUGUGUUGCAUGCAAAUACUAGCCAUAUUUGCAGAAAGUUGUGCAGGCGUGUCCAGAGUUGGAAGAGCUUCUAAAAAUGCACCUUCUCCUUUCCGUUAUGCCCUUGCCUAUUUUGAUAAAGGUUAAAUAAAAUACAAAAUAAACACAA